AGAAUCAACGCUGGCGGCGUGCCUAACACAUGCAAGUCGCACGAGAAAGGGACUUCGGUCCUGAGUACAGUGGCGCACGGGUGAGUAACACGUGAAUAAUCUACCUCCGAGUGGGGAAUAACUGAGAGAAAUCUUAGCUAAUACCGCAUAACACUUACGAGUCAAAGCAGCAAUGCGCUUGGAGAGGAGUUCGCGGCAGAUUAGUUAGUUGGCGGGGUAAUGGCCCACCAAGACGAUGAUCUGUAUCCGGCCUGAGAGGGCGCACGGACACACUGGAACUGAAACACGGUCCAGACUCCUACGGAGGCAGCAGUGGGGAAUUUUGCGCAAUGGGGGAAACCCUGACGCAGCAACGCCGCGUGGAGGAUGAAAUAUCUUGGUAUGUAAACUCCUUUCGAUGGGGAAGAUAAUGACGGUACCCAUAGAAGAAGCCCCGGCUAACUCGUGCCAGCAGCCGC
rnacentral:rRNA from 1 species